GCAUGUGAUGACUUUCAUAGAAUCUCAUUCAACUGAUGAUUGCUGUUGGGACACGAAAAUCUGACUUCU